rnacentral:rRNA from 1 species
UCCUACGGGAGGCAGCAGUGGGGAAUAUUGCACAAUGGGCGAAAGCCUGAUGCAGCGACGCCGCGUGAGGGAUGACGGCCUUCGGGUUGUAAACCUCUUUCAGCAGGGAAGAAGCGAAAGUGACGGUACCUGCAGAAGAAGCGCCGGCUAACUACGUGCCAGCAGCCGCGGUAAUA